UUGUAGCGUCGGUUCCGGGUUGCGUCUCAAGCUGAAACGCAUGCCUCCUACCGCAUACCGCACUUCCGGUUUGGUAUUAACUGCAUGGACGUCACUUCCGGCGUGCGGUCCAUGCUGACACGCACGCCGCGAUACUAGCAACACAUGGCCGGACCUGACUACACCUGUGGGUGUCGCUAGUCGCGACUGGGCGCAUGGGGUAUUUAAAGGAAGGGGGGAAACUCAGGAUGACUACAUCAGACCUAUUUCCCUUCACUGCUAACGACACCAUGUGUCUCUUUGUUGGCUAGCCCUGCAUCUUGGGGGACAUAAAUCGGGGCACCUCUAUCCUUGUUUGGUGCUUUUCAGUCAGGAAGACCCAUGUACCUAUCCAUGAACCUCCCGACCAACGAUCUGUACGUGAUCCGUUGUUAUUGCCAACAUCAGGUCCGACUCUGGGAUCGGGCUUAUGAAAAAUGAAGAUUACUCUUACCAGUAAUUGGAUUUUCCAGAACCCAUGACAGGACUACGAGAGAAGAUCUUCCCCACAGACAGGAAACUUGCAGCAUAAAAAAGGCGGAGGCUCUCCUCAGACUUCAGUGUGAAUUCCCAAGCAUGAGAGGAACUCCGCCAACGUUUAAUCAAUAUUUGCUCUGUGCAUAGAUUCAGUAACAGAACCAAGCUCUGUGUAUAUAGACAGUAACAGAACCAAGCUGCAUGUAUAGAUACAGUAAAAGAACCAAGCUCUGUGCAUAGAGACGGUAACAGAACCAAGCACA